GUGUGGACUAUCCCACAGAGCCUUCUUGUUGUUGUUCCUUUCAGACAGUCUCACUAAGGAGAUGGACUAGAUGUCUUCACACUCUUCCUUGGUCUUCUGAGUGUCAGCCUGGAUGAGUCAUGACAGUCCUUUCUUCAGAUGAUAAAGCAGACUUCUAACUGACUUGUUCACAGUCACAGAAUUAAAGGAAACUGAAACAACAACAACAACAACAACAAAAAAAAGGAAAUUGUCAUUGUAACAAGGCCUCAAAACUUAGUAGGCCCCCAGUCCUCAGCACAACUGAAUCCAUGAUGGAAGUGCCAUUCAGGUGUAAAACUCAGCACAUAGACAGCACCACCUGCUAAAACUAAAACAAACGACUAAUCCAUCAAAGUCCGUAGCUCUGGGUAAGUCUCUAAAUGGACUAAGCUUGCUAUUUUGGCUUCUAUAGUUCUUCUUCUGGCUAAGUGU
rnacentral:lncRNA from 1 species